UACGUAGGGGGCAAGCGUUGUCCGGAAUCAUUGGGCGUAAAGAGCGUGUAGGCGGCCCGAUAAGUCCGCUGUGAAAGUCCAGGGCUCAACCCUGGGAUGCCGGUGGAUACUGUCGGGCUAGAGUCCGGAAGAGGCGAGUGGAAUUCCUGGUGUAGCGGUGGAAUGCGCAGAUAUCAGGAGGAACACCGAUGGCGAAGGCAGCUCGCUGGGACGGUACUGACGCUGAGGCGCGAAAGCGUGGGGAGCGAACAGG
rnacentral:rRNA from 1 species